AUACGGAGGAUCCGAGAGUUAUCCGGAUUUAUUGGGUUUAAAGGGAGCGUAGGUGGAUAGUUAAGUCAGUUGUGAAAGUUUGCGGCUCAACCGUAAAAUUGCAGUUGAUACUGGCUGUCUUGAGUACAGUAGAGGUGGGCGGAAUUCGUGGCGUAGCGGUGAAAUGCUUAGAUAUCCAGAAGAACUCCUGUUGCGAAGGCAUCUCACUGGACUUCAACUGACACUGAUGCUCGAAAGUGUGUGUAUCAAACAGGAUUAGAUACCGUGGUAGUCCACACAGUAAACGAAGAAUACUCGCUGUUUGCUAUAUACAGUAAGCGGCCAAGCGAAAGCAUUAAGUAUUCCACCUGGGGAGUACGCCGGCGACGGUGAAACUCAAAUGAAUUGACGGGG
rnacentral:rRNA from 1 species